rnacentral:lncRNA from 10 species
GCAAGGAAAAACGCAUGGAAAAGAUUCCGAGUGCUCAGAAGGAAGCAACCCUACCACCACCUGAUUUGGACUUCUAAGCUCCAGAACUAGCCCUGGCUGUGUUCACUGAAUGGAUCUAGUCUCUGAAAAUUCACCGACAUUUUUGGCUUGGCGCUGUGGCUCAUGCCUGUAAUCCCAGCACUUUGGGAGGUUGAGACGGGAAGAUUACGAGGUCAAGAGAUCAAGACUAUCCUGGGCAACAUGAUGAAACGCUGUCUCUACUAAAAACACAAAAAAUUAGCUGGGUGUGGUGGUGCGAGCCUGUAGUCCCAGCUACUCAGGAGGCUGAAGCAGGAGGAUUGCUUGAACCCAGGAGGCGGCGGUUGCAGUGAGCCAAGGUGGCGCCACCACUCUCCAGCCUGGCAACAGAGCGUGACUCCGUCUCAAAAAAAGAAAAAAAAAAAUUUCAGGGAUAUUUAUGUAGUGACCUGUUAUUUAAUUUUUCAAUAAUAUAAAUCUGUUUCAAGAAAAAGAAAUUUUAAAUAAACUCUUAUGAUUUUCUUUCUCCUGAAAAUUAUUCCAGAACUUAAAAAAAAAGAAGAAACAAAACAGAGUAAGUACAUUAGCUUUAUUCAACAUAGCAUCUUGUCUAGUAGUAAACUACUAAAAACAGUCUCCUGAGUGGAAAAAAUAUAAAUUUUUGUCUAUAGCAUCAGCGUUGUCCUGCGUGUUCUCAUUAUUUUCUCCAAAUAAAUUGGCUCAAUAUGCUGCUAAGUAUUACCAUUUAUGUUUAUUUUGAAGUUCUAUAUCUUGUCUUUCCUGUUUCAUCUGUAAACAGGCAAUUAUUGCCUCAGUGUGUAUUCUGAUACAUUUUCUCUCUAAAUCUAUUGUCCAAC